GGCUGCAGCGGCGGGUCUGCGGAGUGGAGCCGGCACCGGGCUCUCGGUAGCGAAGCGCCGUCGGUGCCGAGCCUGCCGCCCGCCGCGGAGCCAUGGAGAUCGGCACCGAGAUCAGCCGCAAGAUCCGGAGUGCCAUUAAAGGGAAAUUGCAAGAAUUAGGAGCUUACGUUGACGAAGAACUUCCUGAUUACAUUAUGGUGAUGGUGGCCAACAAGAAAAGCCAGGACCAAAUGACAGAGGACCUGUCCCUGUUUCUAGGGAACAACACAAUUCGAUUCACUGUGUGGCUUCAUGGUGUUUUAGAUAAACUUCGCUCUGUUACAACUGAACCCUCUAGCCUGAAGUCAUCCGACAGCAACAUCUUUGAUAGCAGCGUGUCGUUCAACAAGGGCAGCCUCAGUCGAGGAGAUGAGAGAAAGCACGAAGCUGCAGUGCCCCCCCUUGCAGUUUCUAGCACCAGGUCUGAAAAAAGAGAUUCCAGAGUUUCCACAAGUUCACAGGAGCAGAAAACCACCAGUGUCAGACAGACUUAUGAUGAUGGAGCUGCAACCCGACUGAUGUCCACAGUGAAACCUCUGAGGGAGCCAGCACCCUCUGAAGAUGUGAUUGACAUUAAGCCUGAGCCAGAUGACCUCAUUGAUGAAGAUCUCAAUUUUGUGCAGGAGAAUGCCUUAUCUCAAAAAAAACCGACAGUGACACUCACAUAUGGGUCUUCUCGCCCGUCUAUUGAAAUUUAUCGGCCACCUGCAAGUCGAAAUGCAGACAGUGGUGCUCAUUUAAACAGGUUGCAAUUUCAGCAGCAGCAAAACAGUAUUCAUGCUGCCAAACAGGUCGAUAUCCAGAGCAGCCGGGUGUAUGACGCUGGACGCGUGUGUGAACCGGAAGUGCUGAACAGCUUAGAGAAGACUUACGGUCCCUUCUUCAGAAACAGCUCAGAAAAAAUGAGUAUUGAGGAAGAAAACUUUCGGAAGAGAAAGUUGCCUGUGGUGAGUUCAGUUAUUAAAGUAAAAAAAUUCAGUCACGAUGGAGAAGAGGAGGAGGAAGAUGAUGAUUAUGGCUCCCGAGCAGGAAGCGUCUCCAGCAGCGUGUCAGUGCCAGCGAAGCCCGAGAGGAGACCUUCACUUCCACCUUCUAAACAAGCUAACAAGAACCUCAUUUUGAAAGCUAUAUCUGAAGCUCAAGAAUCUGUAACAAAAACAACAAACUAUUCUACAGUCCCGCAGAAGCAGACACUUCCAGUUGCUCCUAGAACUCGAACUUCUCAAGAAGAAUUGCUAGCAGAAGUGGUCCAGGCGCAAAGCAGGACCCCCAGGAUAAGUCCCCCCAUUAAUAAAGAAGAGGAAACAAAAGGAGAUAAUAUAGAAAAAAGUCAAGGACCUCAACAAAGGCAAUUGUUUUCCCGACUGCAAAUUGACCCAGUAAUGGCAGAAACUCUGCAGAUCAGUCAAGAUUACUAUGACAUGGAAUCCAUGGUCCAUGCAGACACAAGAUCAUUUAUUCUGAAGAAGCCAAAGCUGUCUGAGGAGAUAGUAGUGGCACCAAACCACGAGUCGGGGAUGAAGACUGCAGAUACCCUUCGGGUACUUUCAGGACACCUUAUGCAGACACCACGAGAUCUUGUACAACCAGAUAAACCUGCAAGUCCCAAGUUUAUAGUGACGCUGGAUGGUGUCCCCAGCCCCCCAGGAUACAUGUCAGAUCAAGAGGAAGACAUGUGCUUUGAAGGAAUGAAACCAGUAAACCAAACUGCAGCCUCAAACAAGGGACUCAGAGGUCUCCUCCACCCACAGCAGUUGCAGUUGAUGAGCAGGCAGCUUGAGGACCCAAAUGGUAGCUUCUCCAACGCUGAGAUGAGUGAAUUGAAUGUGGCACAGAAACCGGAAAAACUUUUGGAGCGCUGCAAGUACUGGCCUGCCUGUAAAAAUGGAGAUGAGUGUGCUUACCAUCACCCCGUCUCACCUUGCAAAGCCUUUCCCAAUUGUAAAUUUGCUGAAAAAUGUUUGUUUGUUCAUCCAAAUUGUAAAUACGAUGCAAAGUGUACCAAGCCAGAUUGUCCCUUCACUCAUAUGAGCAGAAGAAUUCCAGUACUGCCUCCAAAACCAGCAGUUACAACACCAGCACCACCUUCUAGUACUCAGCUCUGCCGUUACUUCCCUGCUUGUAAGAAAAUGGAAUGUCCUUUCUAUCAUCCAAAACACUGUAGGUUUAACACUCAGUGUACAAGACCUGACUGUGCGUUUUACCAUCCCACCAUUACUGUACCACCACGACAUGCCUUGAAAUGGAUUCGACCUCAAACCAGUGAAUGACACCCAGUCCUACCUGGCAGAAGAUCAUGGAUUUUGGAAGUUGCCAUCUCCUGAUGAAAGAUAUUCUACAGAACUUGUCAAAUCUUUGAAACUUGGAAUAUAUUGCUUUCAUAAUAAGAAGUUUAUUGCCUAUCUGAAGUGUCUGAUUUUUCAAGUUUGUAGCACACCCAGAUAGCAUGGAAUGGCCAAUCAGAAAGGACCCCAGCAUGCACAAACCAUUAUUCUCUUCCUAGGAAGAAUUCAAAGUAUUGUAACAAAAGCCUGAGACUCAAGUACUAUUCCCUACUGGGAUGGCUCUAACUGCUGAGAAAUAGGAUUUUCCAGUCUUCCCAGCUGCCCUCAGUUCUUCCUUUCUGAACAUAUGAAGUGUUUACCUAGUCCACGUAGCCCAAGUAAUUCUGUCAAUGGCAGCCUGAUCCAAAAGAUGUUUUCCUGAAGGCACUUCAUAGACAUGCCGUUUAUAGCAACCAGUGGAGACCUUUCAUCAUAAUAAAAUGGGACAAGAACUCCAUUAUGUGAGGUAAAAUCCGCAAGAGGUUUAUUGUGUGCGAGCAAAAUGCUACUUGAUUUACAUUUCUAACAUUGUUAAUGCAAAGAUCACUACCGAGAUCUAAAAAUGAGAUAUUACUGGGAAGAAUGGGAUAUUACAGAAUUAAUGCCAAAAUAAUGAACAGUCAAUAAAUGUAAGCAUUCAGGAGCUCUGGAACUCAGGAGCUUGAAACGCGUUCACGGCAGGAAAUGUGAAAGCAGAACCACCUUUGUAAAUUGGGCCGGUAGUACUGGUACUGUACCUGGAGAUACCUGCUAUCUGCAGAGAAGUCCAUUUGAAUGACAAAGCUUGGGAUGUCUUUGCAGUAGCUGAUUCUGUUAAGGGUGGGCCCCAGUGUCAGGUCAUAAAAAUCCACUGAGUUCUCACUGGAACCCACUGCUAGAUAUCGGGAAUCUGGACUAAAUCUGGAUAUGGAACAAAACAUGUAAAAGGUGUGUGAGACCACACAAAUUAGUGUAAUUGUAUAUGUAAGACCAGUGGCUUCCUUUCUAGCUCUUGAAAAUUAGUGAUACGGCCUCAAACUUACAGACACAACUGAUACAGAGGUUCAUCUGUGUUACAUGAAACAAGAAAGCCUUUCUAUUUUACUUUAAAUGUUUCCUGAAUUCUCAUCUCUCAAGUCAUAAGACCGAAGAAGAGCUGAUGCCUUAGAAUUGUGGUGCUGGCGAAGAAUACUGAAUAUGCACACUAUGGACUACCAAACGAACGAACAAAUCUGUCUUGGAUGAAGUACUGCCAGAAUGCUCCUGAGGAGCAAGGAUGUUGAGACUACAUCUCACAUACUUUGAACAUCUUAUCAGGAGGGAUCUGUCCAUGGAGGACAUGGUGCUGGGUAAAGUAGAAGGUCAGCAAAAAAGAGGAAGACCCUCAGUGAGAUGGACUGACACAAGGGCUGCAAAAAUGGGCUCAAGCAUAGCAAUGAUCAUGAGGAUGGCACAGGACCGGGCAGUGUUUCAUUCUGUUGUACACACGGUCGCUAUGAGUUGGAGCCAACUCAGCAGCACCUGACAAGUCAUUAAAAAAAAAAAAAUUUUUUUUAAACCACUAACAAUUACAUAACCAAAUUUGAUAAUUCACUAAAAUAGGAUUCUUUCAUCUGGAAAGAUGACAUCUUAAUAGCAAAAAACAGACUGGCUUAACACACCUCAGGAAAUUAGAACGAAGUGACACUACUCGAAGCUUGGGAAACAUUUCUUAAAAGACAAAGUACUAUUUCACCUCGCAAUCACGGGAGGGAGUAUGGAUGGGACAAUUCAGUCUUUUGAAAAUGUUCCCUGAGUCUUGUGGUGCCUUAGGGACGUGUGGAGGGCUAAGGAAAGCCCGCAGUUACUGUUUCAUAUCUUGAGGUUCUGAGUAAGGUUUCAUUUCUAAGGAGUGUUUACUGAUAUGAAAAGAGUACAAGCUUUCAACAGACCUGGGUUAAUGAUCUACAGGUCGCACAGCAGUGUUCAGGAAGUGGCAGCCACUAUUAAACUAUGCUUAAUGGAAAAUACGGGUUUAAGAAAGUUUCAUAUUAACUCAGAUUCUGGGACACAGCAGAUGUUCAAUGCGUGCUGAAUGAACUAUAUAUUCUCAAUUUGAGAUGAUUAAGGGAAUAAUAAGCAUUAUUAAGGAUAUAUUUGAGGGUAGAAUUUCAGUUUUCCAGGUUGACAACUGACAGGCAAAUGACUCUUAGCUAUUAUAGUGGCAGAUAGUUCCUGACAAGAUGAACUUAGUGGACGUGUCUGGUGUGACACUUAGCAUCCAACAUUCCCUAAGUGCUUGUAUUAGACACUGUGGUGGUGCCCAGUGGACUUAUAACUUACCGAGUAAACUAGUAUAUAAACAGGCAUAUUUCAGUGUACAAUUUAUGAUGUGAUAAAAUGCUACAGGAACUUGGGACUGUUUUUGAAGGUGUAGCUAAGGACAAUUUUUCAAAUGCAUGCUGGGUCAUGUAAAUAUAUACUGGAAAUGCUGUUCCAUUUGUUGACUGACCUGAUAUCAUGGAGGGCACAUCGUCUGUCUCUCUUCUUUCCCCAUAUUUUUAGAGAGCUCACUAGUAAAAUAAUAAAUUCUCCAUUUUUCAUUCCAAUGGCCACCAUGUCUCCUUCAGGGCUGUAACACACAGUACGGGCAGCAUGUCCCAAAUUCACUUUGUUUAACAUCUUCUGCAUAAUAACCAAAAGAGUCAAAGAGCUACAUUAAGUAUGGUACUCACAAACCACCUUCCCCCCAAAAUUCUCAACGUAAUUCUGAAGUAGUUCUUCUAAGUCCUAACAAUUUAGGUCUUCCACUACCCUUCUUAGAAAUUGUAACAUUAAAAAAAAUAGUUUGUACCUACUUUAUCAGCAAUAUCCCAGAGUCUCACUGUCCCAUCUUCUGCAGCAGAAAGGAAAAAGUCCCUGGAAGGAUGUGUUGCUAGUCCCCAGAUUGGUCCAUCCACAUGACCAUUAACUAAAAUAUUACAGGCUGCAUUUUUCUCUCCAAUUUCAAUUAUUUCAGCAUUUCUUGUCCCAACUAAUAUCUUGCCCUGAAACACAAAUGGGACCAAUACGUUUGAUGUAAUACAGUAGCUGCUCGUCUUAAUCACAUAAGAAUGAUGCCAUUCUACUUGCAGAGAGCUUUCUGCUGUUCUUUAUACUUUUUACUGGUCUUGUGACUUAUCUAGCAGCAAGCUCACCAUUUGCUCAUGCAAACGUCUAUGGCUAAGGUACACACCUGCGGGAGCGCUGGCUUGGUGGCAUGUUACAGUCUGUGCUAAAGGACAGAGCUUUUCUCUAAGGCAAUGCACUAGCUGCAGUAAGCGAAGUUUUGACUUUGACUAGGAUAUUUUAAUCUUACGCUCUCCAGAGAGUAGGUGCAUUUGGACUACAGGAAGAAAAUACCGGGGCUUUUAUUUAUACUUAAAAAAAAAAAAAGCUUCUAUUUAAUACACAGACUGAAGAUAAUGUAUCUAACUUACAAAUACACUUACUGGGAUGCAUACAUGUUCCACAUUUUUAUAGGAAUAUGUGUUGUUUUUUUAAUGCAGACAGCUGCUCUACUCAAAAUGAGUCAGCUAAGGAAAUGCAACUCUGUCUAUCAUAGCUGAGUUAGCGGAUUCAAGAAAAUGUGUGGCUUCAAAUCCAGGUGUUUAGAAAAGGUGAGAAUAGCUUCCUAUUCUAGGCACUGCACGGUGCAAAGGCUUUCAUAUGUGCGUGCCAACAGUGGAACUGUAAGGAGAGCAGCAGGGAAAAGGCAGAGUAAAACUGGCAAGCAAAUCCCUCCUAAGAAAUUCACAUUGAGUAUUCAGCAGCUGCAAAGGGCGAGAGAACCACAGUCAUAACCGCCGUUUUCUGCUGCAUGAUGUGCGCUCCAGGAACACAUCUUACUUUGCCUCUGCACACAGAACGAACACAAUCUGUGACUUGUCCUGUCUCAAGCCUGAAGGCACGGCAUCGCCUCAAUUCCUGAUCCCACAAUUUAACUGCUCCUCCUUCUUUUGACCUAAGGAAAGAACAACCCAAACCAAAAUAGGAAUUUAUUAUUGCUUAUUAACAAUAAUUUUUCAUUAUAAACACUAAACUAUAAGCAAAAUAACUAAAAAAGACUCUGAAACUUGUAAUUUGCUUCUAAUAUCCUAAGCUCUCUAUGGCAAUUUUAAGAUAUACUGUAUGGCAGUCAAGCUUUCAGCUUAAGCAAAUUUUAUAGUGUGAAAAGUUUUUUUGACAUGAACAUAAACACAAUUAUUCUGUCCAUUUUUGUCUCAAUUCUUGAUGGAGGAAAUGUACAAAAUGAUUUUUAACAUUAAAGGGAGAAUGGAAAUGGAAGGCUAGAUAAUAGGAUCACAGAUACUAUGACAGUGUACAGAGGAAAAUCACUUACUGGAAAAGUUUAGCAGGCUACUAGUGAGUAGGAAUGACCAAGAUGAGACGACAGAAGGGGAAACUGUUUGGAUACUACGCAAAAGGUAAAAUCUAGCCCACUUAGGAUUUUUCUCUUGAGACAACUGAAUAAAAACACUCCUUCACUUCCUGUUCAAUGCACUGCUAGUCUUCGAGAAAAAAAAAACAUGUCCAUGUACCAUACUACACUCUGCCACUAUGUCGAAGGCAAAAGCACAGCCGGGUUGAACUAAUAUAUGUGAGUUCUUUCAGUCGUGUAUUGAACUGUACUGACUACUACUUCAUCACUUCCCUAUCACUUUUUAACACGCACCUGCCUGUGUCAGUGGGAAAUCACUUACAGGUACCAGUUACUGUUGGGAGAUUUGAAAAUCACUCAGAAAAAGGCUUCUCCACAGACUUAACUUUUGAGGUCUUUUAUCAUAUAAUUUAACAGUUUGCCUCAAGCAAAAGCAAACAAGGCAAAGCUUGUCUUCAGCACCUGCUUAUCCUUUUCUUGGAGCCCUGCUGGCUCAGUGGUUAAGAGCUUGGCUGCUAACCAAAAGGUCAGCAGUUCAGAUUCACCAGCAGCUCCUUGGAAACCCCAUGGGGCAGUUCUUCUCUGUCCUGUAGGGUCACUAUGACUUGGAACUGACUCAGUGGCACCUAACCACAACAUCCUUUUCUAAUGCAGCAGUAUCUGUCAUUUUGAACAAAAUGACUUCCUAUCAGUUUCAACAAAAAAGACAGUUAAGAUGCAGUCUGGGUUCGAUGCUCAGGUGGUUCCCCUAUUACUCAGCAAAUACUUACACAGGCAUAUAUACAGACAUUAAGAAAAUCAAGUCUUGACCUGCAGGACAACUACCUGUCCACGCUCAGGACAGGUAGAGUUGAGGUUUAGCUAUAAUUAGAGAAAACCUGGAAGCAAAUGAAGACCAGAAAUAAGAAGCAACAGAAGGCACAUAAAAGGCAAAAAAGCUGCGUAUCAGAAGGAAAGUCAGAGAAGAGGAUGACUGCUGUAGCCUAGAGGUAACUAGAAUACUAACGGCAAACCUCAGGUAGAUCACAAAUGCGUACACACACAGUGAGGCUGUGAAAGGAAAGAGGACUCACGGCCU